UUGGCACUGAGAGGGCCACGGGGCUUGCCCGGAGCAUCGCUGUGGGCCAUCGCGGCCUGGUGGCCUCACCAAGCCAGAGGCUUUCCCUGCCCCCAGGCCUGGCACUAAUGGGCUCAGGCAGCCAGGAAGGCCAUGGGCUUGGCCCCGUCACUGACACACGUGCAUUGAAAGGAGACCCUGAACAGGGACGUGGAGGCAACUACCGUCUACUUCAGCAAUGACGUGAAGGCCACAGCCACGAGCCUCUCCUGUAUGCUGCAUGACGAAAAGGAGCAGGGAAGGGCAGUGCUUUACCAAGACUAAACUGUACCCAAAUCUGUGACUACUGUCAGGAGGUGGGAAGAGGAAGAAACAGCCCAUGCGGUCAGCCCUGGAAAGGGCCGUUCAUGCUGAGAACUGGCUGGGGAACAUUCCCAUUUUCAUAACCAGCAACAGCUAUCAAAAGGGGAAAGAAGAGUGAUUCUGGACCCCGCCAGCAGCACCUCCCAUCUGCAGCCAGGAUGGGAGAGCCGCAGAGUGCUCCCGGCACAGCCCUCUGGCCCCGCAGCGAGGAAAACGUGUGUCAUUUUCCAGAGGGCUGAGCCAGCACUAACCAGGUGGGAAAUGUAUGAGCAUCUCUCUUGGAAAAUCAGCUUGAUCAGGGUUCCCUUGUCUCAGACAAGAUAUUUCCCCAGCCUGACCUUGGUUGCCAAACCACUGUCCUCAGUCUGGUUCAGUCCAGAGCUGCUCCCCCAGUUCUCUCUGCAGCAGAACAAGGUGGGCAAGGGGAGAGGGGAGCUGCAGUUUGGUGCGUCCUUCAUUCCUGGGCCAGCAUGGAAAGGUAAAUGGGCCUUGUUCUGCUGGGUUUGCCGCUGACCCACCCCUUCUGUCCCGCAGCCUGAUGCCAUGACCACAGGCCCAUUCUUUCUACCAUCUCUUCAAGCAGACCCCACCUUUACCACAGCCAGGAAAUUUCUUUUCUCCCUCCUUCCUCUCCCUCACCCCACCACCGUGAGAAACCUUCUUCCCUCUCUGGGGCUGAUGCCAUCUGUGGGUUGCCUUAGCCAGUGUUUAAGCAAACUAGCCCCUGUGCUGUCUGAGGAGGCUGUGCUGUGUGCAGCAGAAAAUUGAGUAAGAGGUUUCUUGGGGCAAUCGGCAUGCACCGAGACCUCAAAUGCUUCUCUGAAAUCAGGCCCUGCUGUUGCUCCAUAGCAUCCUUCUAACAGGGAGGUAGCAGCUAUGACUGUCUCUCAUCUGCCCAGCCCUGCCCUCUCUGAUCCAGGCUGUCAUCCCAGUUGCCCUGAGCACCAGGAAAAGUCCAGUGCCUGCCACUGAAACAGCAGCAGUGGCUGCCAAGUGCCUCCCAGCUGUCUCCGAGUUACAGGAUCCCUCCCCAGCAUAAGCCCUGCAGUCUCUCAGGGGGCAACUGCUGGCAAUAACAGCCCUAUUUAAACAAAGCAGAGACAGCCUGACUUUACAUGGCCUCCCUCUGCCUUUCCCUGCCCCCCUGCUGUCACGCAUAUUUGGGGAAAAGCCUCUCAAGUCAUCGCUGACUCCUGCACUUCCCACUGUACGUGCAGCUCAGCCACAGCAACAUGCUGGGGUUCACGUAGCUCUGCGUCCUGUUCCAGCUAUUCCCACCCUCCUUCUGUGGAUUCACAGCCCAGCACCCAGGGGUGCUGCCCAUCCCCAGACACGUAAGAACAGUGCUCUCAGCGUGGGAUGAGCACCAAAAUUGCAGCUGGAGAACCUGGCAGUGGACAUGGAGCAGAGCCCUGUCCCCGGGCUGAGGACCAAGAAUGCCUCUUUCCCAUCCAACAAGCCAAGACUUUGAGCCCUGCCAAACCCCAGUGUUUGUUCCUGCAUUUGGCAAGCAAGAGAUGGCAACAAAAGCAUGUGUGAGGCAGAAAGAGGAGUUCCAGUGAAGGAGGGAAG